ACUCCUACGGGAGGCAGCAGUGGGGAAUCUUGCGCAAUGGGCGAAAGCCUGACGCAGCCAUGCCGCGUGAAUGAUGAAGGUCUUAGGAUUGUAAAAUUCUUUCACCGGGGACGAUAAUGACGGUACCCGGAGAAGAAGCCCCGGCUAACUUCGUGCCAGCAGCCGCGGUAAUACGAAGGGGGCUAGCGUUGCUCGGAAUUACUGGGGCGUAAAGGGAGCGUAGGCGGACAUUUAAGUCAGGGGUGAAAUCCCGGGGGCUCAACCUCGGAAUUGCCUUUUGAUACUGGGGUGUCUUGAGUAUGAGAGAGGUGUGUGGAACUCCGAGUGUAGAGGUGAAAUUCGUAGAUAUUCGGAAGAACACCAGUGGCGAAGGCGACACACUGGCUCAUUACUGACGCUGAGGCUCGAAAAGCGUGGGGAGCAAACAGGAUUAGAUACCCUGGUAGGAUAGCG
rnacentral:rRNA from 1 species